AUUGAACGCUGGCGGAAUGCUUUACACAUGCAAGUCGAACGGCAGCACGGGUGCUUGCACCUGGUGGCGAGUGGCGAACGGGUGAGUAAUGCACCGGAACGUAUCCAAUAAUGGGGGAUAACGCACCGAAAGGUGUGCUAAUACCGCAUACGCCCUGAGGGGGAAAGCGGGGGGAUCGUAAGACCUCGCGUUAAUGGAGCGGCCGAUGCCGGAUUAGCUAGUUGGUGAGGUAAAGGCUCACCAAGGCGACGAUCCGUAGCUGGUCUGAGAGGACGACCAGCCACACUGGAACUGAGACACGGUCCAGACUCCUACGGGAGGCAGCAGUGGGGAAUUUUGGACAAUGGGCGCAAGCCUGAUCCAGCCAUUCCGCGUGAGUGAAGAAGG
rnacentral:rRNA from 1 species